rnacentral:rRNA from 2 species
CUUGCACCUGAUUGAUUUUGGUCGCCAACGAGUGGCGGACGGGUGAGUAACACGUAGGUAACCUGCCCAGAAGCGGGGGACAACAUUUGGAAACAGAUGCUAAUACCGCAUAACAGCGUUGUUCGCAUGAACAACGCUUAAAAGAUGGCUUCUCGCUAUCACUUCUGGAUGGACCUGCGGUGCAUUAGCUUGUUGGUGGGGUAACGGCCUACCAAGGCGAUGAUGCAUAGCCGAGUUGAGAGACUGAUCGGCCACAAUGGGACUGAGACACGGCCCAUACUCCUACGGGAGGCAGCAGUAGGGAAUCUUCCACAAUGGGCGCAAGCCUGAUGGAGCAACACCGCGUGAGUGAAGAAGGGUUUCGGCUCGUAAAGCUCUGUUGUUAAAGAAGAACACGUAUGAGAGUAACUGGGGGUACGUUGACGGUAUUUAACCAGAAAGUCACGGCUAACUACGUGCCAGCAGCCGCGGUAAUACGUAGGUGGCAAGCGUUAUCCGGAUUUAUUGGGCGUAAAGAGAGUGCAGGCGGUUUUCUAAGUCUGAUGUGAAAGCCUUCGGCUUAACCGGAGAAGUGCAUCGGAAACUGGAUAACUUGAGUGCAGAAGAGGGUAGUGGAACUCCAUGUGUAGCGGUGGAAUGCGUAGAUAUAUGGAAGAACACCAGUGGCGAAGGCGGCUACCUGGUCUGCAACUGACGCUGAGACUCGAAAGCAUGGGUAGCGAACAGGAUUAGAUACCCUGGUAGUCCAUGCCGUAAACGAUGAGUGCUAGGUGUUGGAGGGUUUCCGCCCUUCAGUGCCGGAGCUAACGCAUUAAGCACUCCGCCUGGGGAGUACGACCGCAAGGUUGAAACUCAAAGGAAUUGACGGGGGCCCGCACAAGCGGUGGAGCAUGUGGUUUAAUUCGAAGCUACGCGAAGAACCUUACCAGGUCUUGACAUCUUGCGCCAACCCUAGAGAUAGGGCGUUUCCUUCGGGAACGCAAUGACAGGUGGUGCAUGGUCGUCGUCAGCUCGUGUCGUGAGAUGUUGGGUUAAGUCCCGCAACGAGCGCAACCCUUGUUACUAGUUGCCAGCAUUAAGUUGGGCACUCUAGUGAGACUGCCGGUGACAAACCGGAGGAAGGUGGGGACGACGUCAGAUCAUCAUGCCCCUUAUGACCUGGGCUACACACGUGCUACAAUGGACGGUACAACGAGUCGCGAACUCGCGAGGGCAAGCAAAUCUCUUAAAACCGUUCUCAGUUCGGACUGCAGGCUGCAACUCGCCUGCACGAAGUCGGAAUCGCUAGUAAUCGCGGAUCAGCAUGCCGCGGUGAAUACGUUCCCGGGCCUUGUACACACCGCCCGUCACACCAUGAGAGUUUGUAAC